GCCCUUCCCAAAUAGCAGCUCCUCUUCCUCAGGAGGGAUCCCUCACUCUGCCUCCUGAAUGGAGAGGAGGUGAUGUUUUAAUGACCAAGAAGAACACAGGCUGCAGCUGAAGGCAAGGGAACUCUUCUGCUGUGGUGACCCUCAGCCUGUGGUAACCACGGAGCAAGGCAGCUGAAGGAGCACACCUGUCCCCUGGGGAGCUGCACACAGGGACUGAGUUGUUCCCCUCCCAGGCCUCUCUGGGAAGCCAAGGCUCCAGCAGCAUCACAUACACUUGUUCUCUCUGGCCUGCAGCAAACACUUCUCUAUAAUUCAUGGGAUAUCUGGGAGAGAAGCAAAUGUCGUGUGGAGCCCGAUGGAGGAGCUGCAGCUGAACAUCUGGAUGGUUUUACAAGCAAGAACAAGCACAAGUCAGCUCUGAACAUGGACACCAGAACAGCCCCCACGAUGGCUGGAUAUUUUAUUACAUGGACCUGUCAGAAAAAUCCAACCUAG
rnacentral:lncRNA from 1 species